rnacentral:rRNA from 1 species
UACGUAGGGCGCAAGCGUUGUCCGGAAUUAUUGGGCGUAAAGAGCUCGUAGGUGGUCUGUUGCGUCCGCUGUGAAAACCCAGGGCUUAACCCUGGGCUGGCAGUGGAUACGGGCAGACUAGAGGUAGGUAGGGGAGAAUGGAAUUCCCGGUGUAGCGGUGAAAUGCGCAGAUAUCGGGAGGAACACCGGUGGCGAAGGCGGCUCACUGGACCGAUACUGACGCUGAGGCGCGAAAGCGUGGGGAGCAAACAGG